rnacentral:rRNA from 1 species
GGUUAAGCGACUAAGCGUACACGGUGGAUGCCCUGGCAGUCAGAGGCGAUGAAGGACGUGCUAAUCUGCGAUAAGCGUCGGUAAGGUGAUAUGAACCGUUAUAACCGGCGAUUUCCGAAUGGGGAAACCCAGUGUGUUUCGACACACUAUCAUUAACUGAAUCCAUAGGUUAAUGAGGCGAACCGGGGGAACUGAAACAUCUAAGUACCCCGAGGAAAAGAAAUCAACCGAGAUUCCCCCAGUAGCGGCGAGCGAACGGGGAGCAGCCCAGAGUCUGAAUCAGUGUGUGUGUUAGUGGAAGCGUCUGGAAAGGCGCGCGAUACAGGGUGACAGCCCCGUACACAAAAAUGCACAUGCUGUGAGCUCGAUGAGUAGGGCGGGACACGUGGUAUCCUGUCUGAAUAUGGGGGGACCAUCCUCCAAGGCUAAAUACUCCUGACUGACCGAUAGUGAACCAGUACCGUGAGGGAAAGGCGAAAAGAACCCCGGCGAGGGGAGUGAAAAAGAACCUGAAACCGUGUACGUACAAGCAGUGGGAGCACGCUUAGGCGUGUGACUGCGUACCUUUUGUAUAAUGGGUCAGCGACUUAUAUUCUGUAGCAAGGUUAACCGAAUAGGGGAGCCGAAGGGAAACCGAGUCUUAACUGGGCGUUAAGUUGCAGGGUAUAGACCCGAAACCCGGUGAUCUAGCCAUGGGCAGGUUGAAGGUUGGGUAACACUAACUGGAGGACCGAACCGACUAAUGUUGAAAAAUUAGCGGAUGACUUGUGGCUGGGGGUGAAAGGCCAAUCAAACCGGGAGAUAGCUGGUUCUCCCCGAAAGCUAUUUAGGUAGCGCCUCGUGAAUUCAUCUCCGGGGGUAGAGCACUGUUUCGGCAAGGGGGUCAUCCCGACUUACCAACCCGAUGCAAACUGCGAAUACCGGAGAAUGUUAUCACGGGAGACACACGGCGGGUGCUAACGUCCGUCGUGAAGAGGGAAACAACCCAGACCGCCAGCUAAGGUCCCAAAGUCAUGGUUAAGUGGGAAACGAUGUGGGAAGGCCCAGACAGCCAGGAUGUUGGCUUAGAAGCAGCCAUCAUUUAAAGAAAGCGUAAUAGCUCACUGGUCGAGUCGGCCUGCGCGGAAGAUGUAACGGGGCUAAACCAUGCACCGAAGCUGCGGCAGCGACGCUGAUGCGUUGUUGGGUAGGGGAGCGUUCUGUAAGCCUGCGAAGGUGUGCUGUGAGGCAUGCUGGAGGUAUCAGAAGUGCGAAUGCUGACAUAAGUAACGAUAAAGCGGGUGAAAAGCCCGCUCGCCGGAAGACCAAGGGUUCCUGUCCAACGUUAAUCGGGGCAGGGUGAGUCGACCCCUAAGGCGAGGCCGAAAGGCGUAGUCGAUGGGAAACAGGUUAAUAUUCCUGUACUUGGUGUUACUGCGAAGGGGGGACGGAGAAGGCUAUGUUGGCCGGGCGACGGUUGUCCCGGUUUAAGCGUGUAGGCUGGUUUUCCAGGCAAAUCCGGAAAAUCAAGGCUGAGGCGUGAUGACGAGGCACUACGGUGCUGAAGCAACAAAUGCCCUGCUUCCAGGAAAAGCCUCUAAGCAUCAGGUAACAUCAAAUCGUACCCCAAACCGACACAGGUGGUCAGGUAGAGAAUACCAAGGCGCUUGAGAGAACUCGGGUGAAGGAACUAGGCAAAAUGGUGCCGUAACUUCGGGAGAAGGCACGCUGAUAUGUAGGUGAAGUCCCUCGCGGAUGGAGCUGAAAUCAGUCGAAGAUACCAGCUGGCUGCAACUGUUUAUUAAAAACACAGCACUGUGCAAACACGAAAGUGGACGUAUACGGUGUGACGCCUGCCCGGUGCCGGAAGGUUAAUUGAUGGGGU